CUUGGCACUUUGGAAUUGUCA
rnacentral:miRNA from 1 species